rnacentral:rRNA from 1 species
AGCAUGUGGUUUAAUUCGACGCAACGCGAAGAACCUUACCAGGGCUUGACAUCCCCUGACCGCGUAUGAAAGUACGUUUUCACCCUCGGGUGACAGGGAGACAGGUGGUGCAUGGUUGUCGUCAGCUCGUGUCGUGAGAUGUUGGGUUAAGUCCCGCAACGAGCGCAACCCUUAUCUUUAGUUACCAGCACUUCGGGUGGGGACUCUAGAGAUACUGCCCCGGUCAACGGGGAGGAAGGUGGGGAUGACGUCAAGUCCUCAUGGCCUUUAUGCCUAGGGCUACACACGUGCUACAAUGGGCGGUACAAAGGGUCGCGAUCCCGCGAGGGGGAGCCAAUCCCAAAAAGCCGUCCCAAGUUCGGAUUGGAGUCUGCAACUCGACUCCAUGAAGCUGGAAUCGCUAGUAAUCGCGGAUCAGCAUGCCGCGGUGAAUACGUUCCCGGGCCUU